CGGGACGGGUGAGUAACGCGUGGGCAACCUGCCCCAUACAGGGGGAUAACGGCUAGAAAUGGCCGCUAAUACCGCAUAAGCGCACAGCAGCGCAUGCUGCAGUGUGAAAAGCCCUGGCAGUAUGGGAUGGGCCCGCGUCCGAUUAGCUGGUUGGUGGGGUAACGGCCCACCAAGGCGACGAUCGGUAGCCGACCUGAGAGGGUGACCGGCCACAUUGGGACUGAGACACGGCCCAAACUCCUACGGAAGGCAGCAG
rnacentral:rRNA from 1 species